rnacentral:rRNA from 1 species
GAAACGACUGCUAAGACUGGAUAGGAAGAUAAAAGGCAUCUUGUAUCUUUUAAAAGACCUAGUUAAUAGGUAUGCUUUAGGAGGGGCUUGCGCCAUAUUAGUUAGUUGGUAGGGUAAUGGCCUACCAAGACGAUGAUGUGUAGCUGGACUGAGAGGUUGAACAGCCACAUUGGGACUGAGACACGGCCCAAACUCCUACGGGAGGCAGCAGUAGGGAAUUUUCGGCAAUGGAGGAAACUCCGACCGAGCAACGCCGCGUGAAUGACGAAGUACUUCGGUAUGUAAAGUUCUUUUAUCGAGGAAGAUAAGCAAAUGGCGAACCAUUUGUUUGCCGGUACUUGAUGAAUAAGCCCCGGCUAAUUAUGUGCCAGCAGUCGCGGUAAGACAUAAGGGGCAAGUGUUAUCCGGAAUUAUUGGGCGUAAAGGGUGCGUAGGCGGUCUAGUAAGUCAGUGGUGUAAUGGCAACGCUUAACGUUGUCCGGCUAUUGAAACUGCUAAACUUGAGUUAGAUAGAGGCGAGUGGAAUUCCAUGUGUAGCGGUAAAAUGCGUAAAUAUAUGGAGGAACACCAGAGGCGUAGGCGGCUCGCUGGGUCUUAACUGACGCUGAGGCACGAAAGCGUGGGGAGCAAACAGGAUUAGAUACCCUGGUAGUCCACGCCGUAAACGAUGAGUACCAAGUGUCGGGUUAAACCGGUACUGAAGUUAACACAUUAAGUACUCCGCCUGAGUAGUACGUACGCAAGUAUGAAACUUAAAGGAAUUGACGGGACUCCGCACAAGCGGUGGAUCAUGUUGUUUAAUUCGAAGAUACCCGAAAAACCUUACCAGGUCUUGACAUGUUUUUGCAAAAUGAUAGUAAUAUCGUGGAGGUUACCAGAAACACAGGUGGUGCAUGGUUGUCGUCAGCUCGUGUCGUGAGAUGUUAGGUUAAGUCCUAAAACGAGCGAAACCCUUAUCGUUAGUUGCCAGCACGUUAUGGUGGGGACUUUAACGAGACUGCCAAUGAUAAAUUGGAGGAAGGUGAGGAUCACGUCAAAUCAGCAUGCCCCUUAUGACCUGGGCUACAAACGUGAUACAAUGGCUGUUACAAAGGGUAGCUGAAACGCAAGUUCUUGGCCAAUCCCCAAAAACAGUCCCAGUCCGGAUUGAAGUCUGCAACUCGACUUCAUGAAGUUGGAAUCGCUAGUAAUCGCGAAUCAGCAUGUCGCGGUGAAUACGUUCUCGGGGUUUGUACACACCGCCCGUCA